rnacentral:rRNA from 1 species
CCCGCUGAACUUAAGCAUAUCAAUAAGCGGAGGAAAAGAAACUAACAAGGAUUCCCCUAGUAACUGCGAGUGAAGCGGGAAAAGCUCAAAUUUAAAAUCUGAGGGUCUUUGCGGCCUUCCGAGUUGUAAUCUAGAGAAGUGCUAUCCGCGCUGGACCGUGCACAAGUCUCCUGGAAUGGAGCGUCGUAGAGGGUGAGAAUCCCGUCUUUGGCACGGACGCCCAGUGCUUCUGUGAUGCGCUCUCGAAGAGUCGAGUUGUUUGGGAAUGCAGCUCAAAAUGGGUGGUGAACUCCAUCUAAAGCUAAAUAUUGGCGAGAGACCGAUAGCGAACAAGUACCGUGAGGGAAAGAUGAAAAGCACUUUGGAAAGAGAGUGAAACAGUACGUGAAAUUGUUGAAAGGGAAACGCUUGAAGUCAGUCGCGUCGUCCGAGACUCAGCCUCGCCUCGGCUUGGUGUACUUCUCGGACGACGGGUCAGCAUCAAUUUUGCCCCUUGGAUAAUGGCGAGGGAAAUGUGACACCUUUGCGGGUGUGUUAUAGUCUCUAGUCGCAUGCAAGGGUCGGGAUUGAGGAACUCAGCACGCGCCUUCGGGCGUCGGGGUUCGCCCACGAUACGUGCUUAGGAUGUUGGCGUAAUGGCUUUAAACGACCCGUCUUGAAACACGG